rnacentral:lncRNA from 1 species
UCUGGCAAGCUGCGAGACAAACUUGGCCAAUCUCGACAUCAAUUGAGUCUAUUUAUGGUAAAAUCUUGCUUCCCUUCCCUCUCAGCAUCAUUUUUAUGAUUUAACUUCCUAUUUUUACUUAGUUUUAGGUCUAAAUCAGAAUCUUGACGAAUCCCAAUCAAACUUUCUGGUGUUCUUCCCUAAUCACCAAGCAGGCCUUCAUGCCGUUCAGAACACCAAUGCGCCUUAGCCCGUUUUAGACCAGUCCAAU